rnacentral:sRNA from 1 species
UCAGUUCUCUGACGAUACAAGCGUGGCCU